rnacentral:rRNA from 1 species
AUUGAACGCUGGCGGCAUGCCUUACACAUGCAAGUCGAACGGCAGCACGGGAGCAAUCCUGGUGGCGAGUGGCGAACGGGUGAGUAAUACAUCGGAACGUGCCCAAUCGUGGGGGAUAACGCAGCGAAAGCUGUGCUAAUACCGCAUACGAUCUACGGAUGAAAGCAGGGGAUCGCAAGACCUUGCGCGAAUGGAGCGGCCGAUGGCAGAUUAGGUAGUUGGUGAGGUAAAGGCUCACCAAGCCGUCGAUCUGUAGCUGGUCUGAGAGGACGACCAGCCACACUGGGACUGAGACACGGCCCAGACUCCUACGGGAGGCAGCAGUGGGGAAUUUUGGACAAUGGGCGAAAGCCUGAUCCAGCCAUGCCGCGUGCAGGAUGAAGGCCUUCGGGUUGUAAACUGCUUUUGUACGGAACGAAACGGCCUUUUCUAAUAAAGAGGACUAAUGACGGUACCGUAAGAAUAAGCACCGGCUAACUACGUGCCAGCAGCCGCGGUAAUACGUAGGGUGCAAGCGUUAAUCGGAAUUACUGGGCGUAAAGCGUGCGCAGGCGGUUAUGUAAGACAGUUGUGAAAUCCCCGGGCUCAACCUGGGAACUGCAUCUGUGACUGCAUAGCUAGAGUACGGUAGAGGGGGAUGGAAUUCCGCGUGUAGCAGUGAAAUGCGUAGAUAUGCGGAGGAACACCGAUGGCGAAGGCAAUCCCCUGGACCUGUACUGACGCUCAUGCACGAAAGCGUGGGGAGCAAACAGG